rnacentral:lncRNA from 1 species
CCUUCGUAGAUUCCUGCUGAUGCUUAAUAAAAGAUUCCAUAAUGCACUUGCAAACCUCCACUCUCACACUCUCCUUCUGGAACAUAUCCAGAAACGGCAAGAAUUUCUCCACAGAAAAAAGCAGAGAGAAAUCAUUGAUAUAGGUAAUAACUUUCUGAAUAAUUGACUGCAACUGUGGGUAAGCAUCUUCAAAUGCUCGAUCAGGAGUCAUGUGUUUGAUAACAUCAGCCAAAACUGUAUUGACUUCUCGCUUCGUAAAAUGUCUGCAUGUAUACUCC